UACGUAGGGUGCAAGCGUUGUCCGGAAUUAUUGGGCGUAAAGAGCUCGUAGGCGGCUUGUCGCGUCUGCUGUGAAAACUCGGGGCUUAACCCUGGGCCUGCAGUGGGUACGGGCAGACUAGAGUGCGGUAGGGGAGACUGGAAUUCCUGGUGUAGCGGUGAAAUGCGCAGAUAUCAGGAGGAACACCGGUGGCGAAGGCGGGUCUCUGGGCCGUAACUGACGCUGAGGAGCGAAAGCAUGGGGAGCGAACAGG
rnacentral:rRNA from 1 species